GACGAACGCUGGCGGCGUGCCUAAUACAUGCAAGUAGAACGCACAGUUUAUACCGUAGCUUGCUACACCAUAAACUGUGAGUUGCGAACGGGUGAGUAACGCGUAGGUAACCUGCCUGGUAGCGGGGGAUAACUAUUGGAAACGAUAGCUAAUACCGCAUAAUAUUGAUUAUUGCAUGAUAAUUGAUUGAAAGAUGCUAUUGCAUCACUACCAGAUGGACCUGCGUUGUAUUAGCUAGUAGGUGAGGUGACGGCUCACCUAGGCGACGAUACAUAGCCGACCUGAGAGGGUGAUCGGCCACACUGGGACUGAGACACGGCCCAGACUCCUACGGGAGGCAGCAGUAGGGAAUCUUCGGCAAUGGACGAAAGUCUGACCGAGCAACGCCGCGUGAGUGAAGAAGGUUUUCGGAUCGUAAAGCUCUGUUGUAAGAGAGGAACGGGUGUGAGAGUGGAAAGUUCACACUGUGACGGUAGCUUACCAGAAAGGGACGGCUAACUACGUG
rnacentral:rRNA from 1 species